rnacentral:lncRNA from 1 species
GUUAAUCCAGCAUUGCUGCUCUGGGCCCCCGUGGCUUUGCCAUAGGACAGAUGGCUCUCUCAGCUGCCAAAGGUCUGAAUCCUGCCUGGAGGGAGGUCCCCAGUGUCUGGGGAGGCCCAGUCAGACAGAGAUCCCUCAUGUCUUUUCAGAACAGGAAAAAGGGGCCACAGGCCAAGAGAUGGAAAGCAAGCGUGCAGCUAGGUUGCAGAGCCCAGAGUUUCUCUCAGCCCCCAGGAGGGUGGGUGGCCGGAGUAGACAUGCGGUUGGGAGAAUGUUAGCAAAGGAGAGCCGCAGUGUGAGUUGGGGUGGGGUGCCUCUGUGUUGACCUCCUUUCACCCCCAGAGAUUCUGUAAGUCCUUCUAGGCAAGAGGAAACCGAGGGGUGAGGCAAAACCUACCUACGUUGUACCCCCACCCCCUGGCCAGGCCAGAGGGGAUGGAGGCAGAGGCCACUGAUUCUGGAUGAAUACAGCUUCUUUGAGGUCAUUCAUCGGUUUGGGACUCCCGCACCAUCCUCUUGGCUGACUUGUACAAGCAGAGCCUUGGAGAGGGUGGUCUUUGCAACCAGCGGACCCUGAGACAGUACUAGCUCAGGGUGUACCCUGUGGGGCCUUAGCCAAGCUCCAGGGAGCUAUCACGUUUUCUUGCCAGUAAAUCCUGGCCUCUCUGGGACGCUGGGAGGCAGUUAACUGGCGAGGGAAUUGGGAGAGUCAAGGGAUCUGUCCAAGGUGCCAGGGAAUUAAUGGCAGGCCUGGAGCUAGAACGGAGCUCUGGACUGUCAAAGUUAGGCCGAGAGAAGACCUCAGGUUGGAGGGUCCUUAGCCUGAGGAUGGAAGAGGGCGUGGAUGCCACUGCCUCAUGCGAGUGCUUGCCACCUGCUCCUCCCUGCCCGGCGUCCCUCUUCGGUCCGCGCUCGGGUCCUCCUGUCCGCACUGCGGCCCUCCGGGCUGAGACUAUUUCCUGGGUUUCCCUUACUGCACACUUCAAAAACUAACCCUGGUCUCCAUCCCUUGUGGGGCCCUGAACUCCUCGGCGACCGCUCGGUCCCCAGUCCCCAUGGCAACAGCGGUGACCUCACUCUGGGCUCGGUUUACUACUCGGGUGAGGUCACCGGCCGUUGCCAAGGGAACGAGGGGGGGUUGCAAAGAGUCGGAAAGCGGGCGACCGUGGGGGCGGGGAUCGGUGUGGACUGCCAAAGGUGCGGACUGACAUGCGGAGGAGGCGGCGGCCUCGCGCGUCCUCGAGGGGGCAGGA